rnacentral:rRNA from 1 species
AACGAACGCUGGCGGCAGGCUUAACACAUGCAAGUCGAACGCCCCGCAAGGGGAGUGGCAGACGGGUGAGUAACGCGUGGGAAUCUACCCAUCCCUACGGAAUAACGCAUGGAAACGUGUGCUAAUACCGUAUGCGCCCUACGGGGGAAAGAUUUAUCGGGGAUGGAUGAGCCCGCGUUGGAUUAGCUAGUUGGUGGGGUAAAGGCCUACCAAGGCGACGAUCCAUAGCUGGUCUGAGAGGAUGAUCAGCCACAUUGGGACUGAGACACGGCCCAAACUCCUACGGGAGGCAGCAGUGGGGAAUAUUGGACAAUGGGCGCAAGCCUGAUCCAGCCAUGCCGCGUGAGUGAUGAAGGCCUUAGGGUUGUAAAGCUCUUUCACCGGAGAAGAUAAUGACGGUAUCCGGAGAAGAAGCCCCGGCUAACUUCGUG